UACGUAGGGACCAAGCGUUGUUCGGAUUUACUGGGCGUAAAGGGCGCGUAGGCGGCAUGACAAGUCACUUGUGAAAUCUCCGGGCUUAACUCGGAAAGGUCAACUGAUACUGUGCGACUAGAGUGCAGAAGGGGCAACUGGAAUUCUCGGUGUAGCGGUGAAAUGCGUAGAUAUCGAGAGGAACACCUGCGGCGAAGGCGGGUUGCUGGGCUGACACUGACGCUGAUGCGCGAAAGCCAGGGGAGCGAACGGG
rnacentral:rRNA from 1 species